rnacentral:rRNA from 1 species
AUGAGUUGAUCGACUAGUUCCGUAGGUGAACCUGCGGAAGGAUCAUU